GAUGAAGAACGUAGCGAAAUGCGAUACGUAAUGUGAAUUGCAGAAUUCAGUGAAUCAUCGAAUCUUUGAACGCAUAUUGCGCUCUCUGGUAUUCCGGAGAGCAUGCUUGUUUGAGUAUCAGUAAACACCUCAACUUCCAUAUCUUUUUUGAAAUGGGAGUUGGACUUGCGUGAUCCCAACGCUUUUCCUCACCGAAAAGUGGCGGGUUACUUGAAAUGCAGGUGCAGCUGGACUUUUCUCUGAGCUAUAAGCAUAUCUAUUUAGUCUGCCUAAAAAACAGAUUAUUACCUUUGCUGCAGCUAACAUAAAGGAGAUUAGUUCUUGUGCUGACUGAUGCAGGAUUCACAAAGACAGGCUUCGGCCGACUUUGUAAACUCGAUCUCAAAUCAAGUAAGACUACCCGCUGAACUUAAGCAUAUCAAUAAGCGGAGGA
rnacentral:misc_RNA from 1 species